UACGUAGGCAGCAAGCGUUGUUCGGAGUUACUGGGCGUAAAGGGUGUGUAGGCGGUUUUUUAAGUUUGGUGUGAAAUCUCCCGGCUCAACUGGGAGGGUGCGCCGAAUACUGAAAGACUAGAGUGCGGGAGAGGAAAGUGGAAUUCCUGGUGUAGCGGUGAAGUGCGUAGAGAUCGGGAGGAACACCAGUGGCGAAGGCGGCUACCUGGACCAGCACUGACACUGAGGCAUGAAAGCGUGGGGAGCAAACAGG
rnacentral:rRNA from 1 species